rnacentral:rRNA from 1 species
UUAAGAAUCUUGCGCAAUGGGCGAAAGCUUGACGCAGCGACGCCGCGUGGACGAUGAAGGCCUUCGGGUUGUAAAGUCCGUUAAGCAGGGAAGAAUAAGCAGCGGGUAAUAUUCGCUGUGAUGACGGUACCUGCUUGAAGCCCCGGCUAACUACGUGCCAGCAGCCGCGGUAAUACGUAUGGGGCGAGCGUUGUUCGAAAUUAUUGGGCGUAAAGGGCGUCUAGGCGGGGGAUUAAGUUGGGUGUGAAAUCCAUGGGCUCAACCCAUGAACUGCAUCCAAAACUGGUUCUCUUGAGUUCGGGAGAGGAGAGCGGAAUUCCAGGUGUAGCGGUGAAAUGCGUAGAUAUCUGGAAGAACACCAGUGGCGAAGGCGGCUCUCUGGCCUAGAACUGACGCUGAAGCGCGAAAGCGUGGGGAGCGAACGGG